rnacentral:rRNA from 1 species
UACGGAGGGGGCAAGCGUUGUUCGGAUUUACUGGGCAUAAAGGGUGUGUAGGCGGUCGCGUAAGUCUGGUGUGAAAUCUUCGCCGCUUAACGGGAAGGGUGCACUGGAAACUGCGUGACUCGAGUGUGGUAGAGGCAGGCGGAAUUCCUGGUGUAGCGGUGGAAUGUGUAGAUAUCAGGAAGAACACCGGUGGCGAAGGCGGCCUGCUGGGCCACCACUGACGCUGAAACACGAAAGCGUGGGGAGCAAA